rnacentral:SRP_RNA from 1 species
GCCCGGCACAGUGGCACAUGCCUGUAGUCCCAGCUACUCAGGAGGCUGAGGUGGGAGGAUCGAUCGCCUGAGCCCAGGAGUUCUGGGCUGUAGUGCGCUAUGCCAAUCAGGUGUCUGCACUAAGUUCAACAUCGAUAUGGUGACCUCCCAGGAACGGGGGACCACCAGAUUGCCUAAGGAGGGGUGAACUGGCCCAGGUCGGAAACGGAGCAGGUCAAAACUCCCGUGCUGAUCAGCAGUGGGAUCUCACCUGUGAAUAGCCACUGCACUCCAGCCUGGGAAACAAAGCAAGACCCUGUCUCU